rnacentral:rRNA from 1 species
GACGAACGCUGGCGGCGUGCUUAACACAUGCAAGUCGAGCGGAAAGGCCCUUCGGGGUACUCGAGCGGCGAACGGGUGAGUAACACGUGAGUAACCUGCCCCAGGCUUUGGGAUAACCCUCGGAAACGGGGGCUAAUACCGGAUGUGACUUCCUGCCGCAUGGUGGGGGGUGGAGAGUUUUUUUCGGCUUGGGAUGGGCUCGCGGCCUAUCAGCUUGUUGGUGGGGUGAUGGCCUACCAAGGCGGUGACGGGUAGCCGGCCUGAGAGGGCGACCGGCCACACUGGGACUGAGACACGGCCCAGACUCCCACGGGAGGCAGCAGUGGGGAAUAUUGCACAAUGGGCGCAAGCCUGAUGCAGCGACGCCGCGUGAGGGAUGACGGCCUUCGGGUUGUAAACCUCUUUCGGCGGGGACGAAGCCGCAAGGUGACGGUACCUGUAGAAGAAGCGCCGGCCAACUACGUGCCAGCAGCCGCCGCUGUAA